UACGUAGGGGGCAAGCGUUGUCCGGAUUUAUUGGGCGUAAAGAGCGCGCAGGCGGUCGUUCAAGUCGCGUGUGAAAGCCCCCGGCUCAACUGGGGAGGGUCACGCGAUACUGAUCGACUCGAAGGCAGGAGAGGGUAGUGGAAUUCCCGGUGUAGUGGUGAAAUGCGUAGAUAUGCGGAGGAACACCGAUGGCGAAGGCAAUCCCCUGGGCCUGCACUGACGCUCAUGCACGAAAGCGUGGGGAGCAAACAGG
rnacentral:rRNA from 1 species